ensembl:lncRNA
AAAUAUAUUAAAUCCAUCUACAUCUGGCUAGGCUCCUCCUUCGUCACUUCAAAACAGAUAUCUUAAUCACUGCCACUCACUGUUAGUUGGUUCAAAAUACUUAGUAUUAAGCUCAAAUCUAGAAACUUUGACAGAAAGUGCUAAGUGGGGCAGAGGAAGCUUGUUUUUUUGAACAAACUCAGUUGCUACCAUGUCUACUGGAGCCUUAGAAGAAGAGUGAUUAAACAAAAGCUAGGUUUAUUUGUUUAUAACAGAAGAUGGUCAAAUUGACAGCAUUUUCCAGACUUGCUAAAUAACUUCUUCCAGGAUUCUGAUAGGUUAGUGGUACAAAGCCAUUGUCAGGCAACUCUCUGGGCCUCCCAGGAGGAUACCUGGGACCAGGCAUUUCCACUGUGUCUGUCUUGAUUCCUGAAGAAAAUUUAUCGUGCAAAGAGGAAUCUUCCAUUGAAGGAGACCAUGUUUAUCGCCUGUACAGAGAAGCUCAAUCGAGUUAUCCUCUCAUCUGUGUCUGCAAGAAAUGGGUAAUUUUGGUGCAGAGGUUCUUUCAGGAGACUAUGAUGAGAAAAGCCCACAUGCUCCAUGAUCACACUACAUUCUGGAAUCCUUUGCAAGUCUUCAGCUGUUGAAUGCAAAUAAUGACUUUUCUGGUUCUUCCUUUCCCUGUCACCACAGAUUUUGAUUUGUGUCAUCAAAAUAGUCAAGGAGGGAAGAAAAUGACCUGGACAGAUUGUACAUGAAAAAAAAGUGAAUAAAAUUCAGCAUAUAAACAUUGACCUCUAGUUUAGUAAUGUCUGAUUCCAUCAUACCAAAUUUAGUGUCUAGAUGUCAAGUUUUCUCCUUACCAGAGGAAGAAUCUAGUCCUACAGAGAUCUUCCACUAAGAUGAUGAAAUUAGCACUCUCCUGGGGACAAAAUCAGAACAUUAAAUAAGCAUGGGGAUUUCUGUGCACAGAAAAUUAGGCAAUAACAAUAUUCAUGUGCAAAAAAUAUAUAUUCUUUUUAUUCUGUUUACUUCUCUCUCUGACUGCUUUCAAUUAAUGUUUCAUGCGUACAGCCAACUUGUUUGCUGGAGUUGCUGUGAAUCAUGAACAAAUCACAUAAACAUUUUAAAAGAAACCCAACCACUGCCCUGCAAUGUGGCAACAGUAAUGGUAGGUACUUUAGUCAAUAGCUUUUUUUAUUAUUAUUUUUGAUGUUAUGAUCUAAAAAGUAUGAGUUGCUGGUGUACAGAUGGCUUUGAUCUCCCAAGGUGGAGCAUGCUUAUACAUCUGUAUGCCAUUUUACGCAUACUUGCAACAUGAUUUCUAUGACUCCUUGUAAUUGUACGGAACAAUAGGUUACUAGAGACAUCAUAUUCUUUGGUGCCAUGUUAUUGUAGAGUAUAUAAAAGAGAAGUAGGGAAAACCUCCAAGAGGAGGGGGAGGAAAUAGUCUGAGGAUGCAGGAGAACCUACAUCCAGAUUCCCCUAAGUGGAAGAAAUGAUGAUGAAAGCAGAAAAAUACUGUUAAAAAUCAGUUCAGGGUUUUAGUGCUGACUUGGAUCAGAAUAUUUUAGCUGCUAAACUGCUCUUACAGUUUCUUA